rnacentral:rRNA from 1 species
CGAACGGGUGAGUAACGCGUGAGGAACCUGCCUCAAAGAGGGGGACAACAGUUGGAAACGACUGCUAAUACCGCAUAAGCCCACGGGUCGGCAUCGACCAGAGGGAAAAGGAGCAAUCCGCUUUGAGAUGGCCUCGCGUCCGAUUAACUAGUUGGUGAGGUAAUGGCCCACCAAGGCAACGAUCGGUAGCCGGACUGAGAGGUUGAACGGCCACAUUGGGACUGAGACACGGCCCAG